rnacentral:tRNA from 1 species
GGUUAUAGCUCAGUGGUAGAGCACUUGCUUCGCACAUGUGUGGCCCUGGGUUCAAUCCUCAGCACCA